UGAUGUGGCAAGAGCACACAUUUUUCUAUUUGAACAUCCAAAUGCAAAUGGGAGAUAUAUUUGCUCUUCCCACAUAAUCACAUUGGAAGAUUUGGCUAAAUUCCUCUCUGCCAAGUACCAAGAAUUUCAAAUACCAUCUCUGCCGGCAUUGAAAGAUGUCAAAGGCCACCUAUUCACUGAUGUCUCAUCAAAGAAGCUUUUGGAUACUGG
rnacentral:misc_RNA from 1 species